rnacentral:rRNA from 1 species
UACGAAGGGGGCGAGCGUUGUUCGGAUUUACUGGGCGUAAAGGGCGCGUAGGCGGCGCGAGAAGUCGAGUGUGAAAGCCCCGGGCUCAACCUGGGAAUUGCGCUCGAUACUCUUGUGCUUGAGUUCGGGAGAGGGGCGUGGAAUUCCCAGUGUAGAGGUGAAAUUCGUAGAUAUUGGGAAGAACACCGGUGGCGAAGGCGGCGCUCUGGACCGAGACUGACGCUGAGGCGCGAAAGCGUGGGGAGCAAACAGG